rnacentral:rRNA from 1 species
UACGAAGGGGGCUAGCGUUGCUCGGAAUUACUGGGCGUAAAGGGCGCGUAGGCGGCCCGCACAGUCAGGCGUGAAAAUCCUGGGCUCAACCCAGGGACUGCGCUUGAUACAUGCGGGCUAGAGGACGGAAGAGGCUCGCGGAAUUCCCAGUGUAGAGGUGAAAUUCGUAGAUAUUGGGAAGAACACCGGUGGCGAAGGCGGCGAGCUGGCCCGUUACUGACGCUGAGGCGCGACAGCGUGGGGAGCAAACAGG